UAAAAAUAAUAAACAGAAGCAUAUUAGUAUAUGUAUGUGAAGAAAAGAUAAGAUUAUAUAAAGAAAGAUCGUUCCAAAGAAAAAACCUACGUAAUAUUUUUUAAUGUAAAAAGUAUAAAUUAUUUGAUUAAAUAAUCUAAGUCAAUCUAAUAUUUUUAUAUAAAUAUUAACGACUUAAAUUUUCCUAAACGCAUGGUGAAGAUUAAAUAAAAAAUAUCCCGCCCACCACCCCAAAAAAUAAAGUUUUCGCUAUGAUUAACAUUUGUACAAGUGAAAGAAUAUAAAAGUAUAAACACUCAAUUUAAAGUUUUCUUUAAAUGUCAUCCCGAUAAGUAUUCUCAAUCAUUUGUAUAAACACUUGUAAUAAAAAUGUCAAUAAUAAAUAAAUAAUAAUCAAAAUAAAAUGAAAAACUAUGGGUGCAUAUACAUAUUUAAAUAUAUAUUUUUUGUUAGUUAGUGGGCUCAGAUAAAGUUUUGAAAUAUUAUGAAGAUUUCGUCAUCGUCCAAAAAUAUUUAUUUUUUAUUACGUAUUUAUAUAUAUAAUGUCCUUCUUUUAUUUGGAAAGACCUCAAAAACUGACGGAGGUUUCCUCAUUGACCAUAUAUUUAUUUAUAUAAAAUAAAUAAAUUGAAAAGUAAAAUUAACUUUUGUAUUGGGGUGACCUUAAAUAUUCAAAUGGAGGGAUAAUUUUACUGGCCAUGUCUAUUUUUUACAAAGCAACAAGGGACAAAAUGUCUAAAAACAGUUCCUAAAUCAGUCUAAACAUAGCAAAAUAACUCAUCCAUUCAGUGCAUUUUCCGAAUGCAAAUCAACCCAAACAAUAAAAAAUAUAUUAGCACAUAUCAAUAAUGUUGAUGGCAAUAAAAGAAAAACAAAAACACAGGACAAUAAUAAAACAACAAAUCCAACAAGAGAAGACAAAUAUGAUAAUUAACUAUAAUAACCAGAGACAACAAAAAAAUCUCAGACAGUGAGGGUGUCGGCGUUGCUUCAACGGAAUCAUCGGAGCAACGCCGUAACAUAGAAAAGCGGCCAGAUCUGGCCAAAUUCUCAGUAAAUAGUGGCGGAAAAAGGAGGAAAAGGGAGGCGCGUCUGGCGGUUUCUGCUGGUGAGGUCGCCGGCAGAUCUGGUUCGGCUUUGGGUGGCAGAAAUAGUUGGAGCUUUGGUAGCUGUUGGCCGGAGUUGUUGUUGUCAGUGCCUGGACGGAUUUAUAGGGGAAAAGGGGUCGGCCGGGUGGUGGCUGGAAGCUCGCCGGUCGUCACCUCCGACGAACCAGCGUGCAGCAGCGGAGAUGGAAGGAAGAGAAAGACGUGAGAUAUAGAGAGAAAAUGAGAUAAAAAAUCUGAUGUUUUCUAUUUUGUGUGUUCAACAAUUGCCUCCUCCUCUUUUAUUUGUAAUAAAAAGAACCUUUUUUUUAUUAAAAAAAAAAAAAUUACCUCUUUAAUCACUAAAUAGUAUAUUACUAUUAAUCAAUAGUAUGUUACUAUUAAUCAAUAGUAUAUUCAAUUAAUCAUUUCAAUUGACAUCUUUUAAACAGUUGACAUGAUUUUAAUUUGAUUAAUUUAUUACUUUGUAUAUUAAAAUAAUUAAAUUGAUUCACUUUUGUAGGUCGUAUUAAAUAACUUAUAAAAUAAUAAAUAUCGAUGUAUAAUUAUAGAAAAAUAUAAACAACAAAUAAAAUAUAAUUAUCUUGAAAAAAUAUAUUAUGUUAUAAUAAUUAAAAUUAUACUGUGCAGUAAAAAAUUACAGUGUUGUGUUGUGUACGUAUUUAAUGAUUGUGUAAAAAUCUUAAAAUAAUAAUAAACUGAUAAAAAUUUACAAAAUUAAGGAUAAUUAUGUAAAAUUAAAAUAUGAUAAUAAAUUUGUAGAAAAUUCUAAAAUAAUGAUAAUUAUCAAUAACUUGUCGGAUAUGACAAAACAUUAUUGUGUGUUCCUUGUCAAAUGUGACAAAACAUUAAAUUAUUAUACUAUACAUGAAUAAUUGAUCCAACUCAGCGUUUGCAGAAUGUAAAAUAUAGAAAUUGAUUUGUAAUUAUGAAAAAAUAUAAAGGAUGUUGAAAAUAUCAAAAAAUAUAAUUAAUUUGAAAAUAUUAUAAAAAUAUGAUGUCAUGUCGUGCACGUAUGCAGACAAUUGUAAAAAUAUUGACUGAUAAAAAAUUUCAAUAUACAGAGAAUUAUCAAUAAAUUAUAAAAAGUAAGAAUAUAAAAGUAAAUUGAUAAAAUCUUAAAGUAAAGAGGAAUAUCAAUAAUUUAUUAACAAAUGUAAAAAAAAUACGUGAAAAUUGUAUUUUGUGCCCUUUAACGAUCAGAAAGCCUGAAGACAUUAAUUUUAAGCACGGAGAGCAAAAAUUGGGUGUCAACAGUUGCCUCUUUUUGUUUGAAGGCGAUGUAGAAGUUUCAAAACGAAAAUAUUGACGUGUAGCCAAUUUUGCUCGAUAAAAAAUAAUUUUGAUAAAAAUUCAACCGAACUUCAAUUUAGAGCUGCCUACAUACCUCGAGUUGUAUGAGGAUCAGGUCGGGUGUAAUUCGAAAGAAUAGGCAAUUACCUCCUGCCUUGUUAUUAAGGGUGGAUGACCAUGUAGAAUGAUUAUUGAGAGACGAACUAUUUGGAAACAGAAGUGUUUAUCUAUUUCCAAUGUCCCUUUUAAAAUUGUCCAGUAUCGAGCUGUGAGAUGUUGUGGAUGCAGGAUUGUGUACUUGCUGGGGAGAAAGAAUGAUUAGGGGAUUAUGAUGACCGAACUCUGCAUAGAGCUUCCUACAUAUCUCAAGUGUCGCGAGAAUCAGGUCAAUAUAGUUCCAGAUGAGAAAGUAGAAAAUUUUGAAGCAGUUCUCAAAAUUUGCCUCAGUGUAUGAUGUAUGGGUUUUAAAAAAAUAUCUUUUGUUUUGAAUUAUAUUUCUGGUUUAACAUAUGGAUGAUGUCUCCGAUUAUUUGCGGAGACUUGAGGAUGAAUGACGCCUCCGAUUGUUUACGGGGACUUAUGUGAUAAAUGAAAGAUGUCUUUGAUUGUAUACGAAGAAUUGAUGCAUCACAUCUCUAAUUAUUUAUGAAUAUUGAUGUUGAUCGUCAUCUUCAAUUGUCUACGAAGACCGUGUGAUGAAUGAUGAUGUCUUCGAUUAUUUACGAAGACUUGAUCAUGACACCUCCAAUUGUCUAUGGAGGCUGAUGUUGCUUGUUGUCUCCGAUUGUCUACGGAGACUAAUGUGAGUGACAUCUCCAGUUGUCUAUGGAGACUGAUGUUGAUCGUUAUCUUCGAUUAUCUACGGAGACUGUGUAAUGAAUGAUAAUGUCUUCGAUUAUUUACGAAGACUUAAUGCAUGACACCUCAAAUUAUCUAUGGAGAUUGGUAUGAAUUAUCGUCUCCUAUUGUCUACAGAGACUGAUGUGAUGAAUGAUGUUGUCUUCUAUUAACUAUGAAGACUUGAUGCAUGACAUCUCCAAUUGUCUAUGGAGACUGAUGUUGAUUGAGGUGUCUUCAGUUAUCUACGAAGAUUUGAUAACAUCUCCAAGUGUUUAUGGAGACGGAUGUUGAAUGGUGAUGUCUUCGAUUGUCUAUGGAGACUGAUGUUGAUUGUUGUCUCCGAUUGUCUACGAAGUCUAAUGUGAAUGGCAUCUCCAAUUGUCUAUGAAGGUUGAUGUUAAUUGCCGUCUCCGAUUAUCUAUGAAGACUAAUGUAAUGAAUGAUGAUAUCUUUGAUUGUUUACGAAGACCUGUAUGAUAUCUUCAAUUAUCUAUGGAGACUGAUGUAUGACGCCUCUGAUUGUCUACGAAGACUAUGUGAUGAAUGUUGUCUUCGAUUGUCUACGAAAAUUAUGCCAUGAAUAUUGUCUUUAAUUGUAUACGAAGACUAUGUACGAUAUCUCCGAUUGUCUAUGAAAACUUGAUGAUAAAAUGACAUCUCUGAUUGUCUACAGAGACUAUGUAAUGAAUGUUGUCUUCGAUUGUCUGUGAAGAUUAUGUUGAUAUCUCCAAUUGUCUAUGAAGAGUGAUGAUAAAAUGAUGUCUCUGAUUGUCUAUAGAGACUAUGUAAUGAAUGAUGUCUCCGAUUGUCUAUGAAGACUAUGUCAUAAAUAUUGUCUUCGAUUGUAUAUGAAGACUAUGUACGGUAUCUCUAAUUGUCUAUGGAGACUUAAUGAUAAAAUGAUGUCUUUGAUUAUCUACAUAGACUAUGUAAUGAAUGUUGUCUUCGAUUGUCUACGAAAACUAUGUUGACCGUUGUCUUCGAUUAUUUAUGAAGACUGAGGCCAUCAACUAGUGAGGUGACUGAAAUCUAAUAGCCCUAUCAACUAGUGAGGCUAUUGAUGUGUAAAAAAUUCUCGACUUGGGAGAGAAAGAAAAAAAAUAUAAUAGCCUCUCGAGUGACGGGGCUAUAAAGAAUAAUACUCAAAGAUGAGCGCCUAACUGAAAAAUAAAAUGUUUAUAUUUAAAGGUAUGUGCUUGAAAGAAAAAAGGAAAACAUCCAUAUUUGAAAAUUAAAAGCCUUAAAUAAAAAGUAAAAAAUGCAUGCAUGUAAAAGUGGAUGUCUUGAAAAGUAAAGAAAUGUAUGUAUGUGAAAAUGAGGUCUUGAAUGAAAAGUAAAGAAAUGUCUGUAUGUGAAAAGAGGUGUCUUGAAUGGAAGGUAAGAAAAUGCCCAUAUGCGAAAGUGGGCUUCUUGAAAAAAAAAAGUAUUUUCUUGAUAAAAGUGUUGAAACUUGAAGAAUGCAUGGUUAUGUCUUAACUUCGAUUGAUACCAAUAAUUAGUAGUGUGUAUAAGAAUUUCCCAUUUCUUUCCCAACUGACUGAGAUCGACUUCAGGGUAACUCAUAUAGUUUCAAGUGGUACCUCAAACAUACCUAAGUAUCAAUAAGAUUUAUUUAUCUUGCUUCAAAUAAAGGUUUCGUGAUACUAUACCUGGCCUCAUGUUUCAAGUGCCCUCUCCAGAAAGAAAGUCUCAUUUCACACAUAUUUGAGUAAUUUUUUUUAUUUGGGGACGUCGAGAAAAAUACAAUCAUACUCGAAAGGAAAUUCAAUACAUGCAGUUGUGAUACUAUAGGCCUGAUCUUCAUGUAAGUAUACACUAAUGUGAGAACACUUGAAAUAGGAUCAUGUAGGACUUUUUAUUGGCUUAUAAUGUAGGCUUGGGGACGGGUAGGAUGAUAUUUGGGAUAAAAGUGACUAAUUCCUCAAUAAUUAUUACAUUGCAUUUGUGCUUUCUACAUUUAUUAUAUUUUGGCGCGUGAUUUUUCUUUGUUGUGCUUCGUUGUCUCUUGUUUUUGUAUUUGCUUCGACUUCUUUUGAAUCGUGUAUUGAAGUUUCCCCCUUUUUUUUUAAGAUACUAUAUUUAUUUUUUAUUUUUUUUGGUGUGUGGGGGUUUUGCUUCUUUUGAAGUCUUUUUUUUUUCAAUUUUGUUCAUCUAGGAUAAUAUAUCCUUUGCGUUUUGCAUCUUUGAUCUUAAAUCUCUGUCCAUAAUUUGCAUGUAUUUAGUGCGCUCAAGGAGGUAGGGCCAAGAGAGGGAUAGUGCAUGUAAGCACUCAAAAAGGUAUAGGUGCAGAUGCGGUUGUCUAAAGAAAAGGUUUAGGCUCAAAAGAGGAAAUGCUAGGGGUUAAUGUCGUUUGGUGGGCUAUGAAAGGCUCAAUCGGGUCAAAGAAGGCCUAUGAUCAUUUUCUAAACUAAGUGAAACUUAGAAUUUCACCUCAACAGACAUUUAAGACAAGUUCUAGAUCAACAAUGCAAUGCAAUGAAUUAAACUAAAGCUCACCUCACAAUGCACAUGAGACGAUGAGGCAGGCUUCAUUCUUGUCUUGAAUGUAUGCAGGAGAAUUUUCAAGUGUUACUCGGGUAUGAUGAAGGGUAUCAAAAGAAUCUAUGGUUUACCAUGAAAUCAAUUAUUUACAUCAUACCAAAUCAUUCUUUCUCAUGCACAUUCCUAACUGUUUCCGUGUCAAUCAAAUCAAUUUUUUUUUAAAGAAUGGGAUCGAACCCAAAUGAGGGUUGCCUACGUAUCUUGUGAAAACAAGAAUCAGGUCUGCGUAGUUCAGCAAAAUUUGUGAAUUUGUAUAUGAAUGUAUGAUUGUAAAAAAAAUGAUGGCCAUUCUCGAAAAAAAAUGAUGGUCAUUCUCGAAAAUAAUAUGAAAGACGAUCAGGAAUUAUUUUUUUUAACAUAAAAAAUUAUUCUGAUCAAAUGAUCGAGAGAAUGAAUGUCAUGUAUAGGGAGAGCUUUGACACAACUUCAGUAUGCUGACAAGAUUGAAAAGUCAGACAUUGAAGAAAUUAUGACAUUAUUUCACCACAGUUGGCGAGAUUAUUAUAAUUGAAAAAAAUAUUAAAUUCUUAUUUUAGAGAGUGAGGAUCAAUAAGUUAUAAAUUUAAUAGUUCACGACGUUCGAAAAAAAAACUAGGUAAAAUUGAGUAAAGAUCUGAAGAUAGGCCGGCUAGGCACUAAUUCAAUGAGAUUUGGAUUUGAUGAGCUAUUAAUUUGCGCUCUUGAAGGCUUUUGAAGAGCGUCUUUGAACUGUUCUAAAAAAUUGCCCCAGUUUUGAAUACCGAAGAAAUUAUUCUAAAAGUUAGAGUCUGAACCCUAAUGCAGGGUUGCCUACGUAUCUUGUUAGGACAAGAAUCAGGUUAAAACGUAGUUCAAACAAUUUAUGAGUUUGUACAUUACGUGAUUUAUUUCCAGAAUAGAAACUUUCCUAAAUGGUUGAGAGUAGGACUGAAUGAUUGAAAGAAGGCUCAAUAACUGAAAUGCGUCGAUUCUGAAACUAUAGAAUUUAAAAAAGAUUUAGAGGAGUGUGAAACACCCCCCACGUGAACCACAAUGUGUGAGUGUAUGGCCAAAAACUCGAUGAAAUUGUGAUUUAUGAUCAAAUAAAAUAAAGAAUAAUGUGUAACUGUUUUAACAAUAUACAGAUACAGUGUAUUAAAUAAAUAAUUAACAAAAAAAUUGAUAAGGCAACAAAAUUAAUUUGCGCAAAUAAUGUAAAGAAUUCAUGAAAAAGUCUACACAAUUUGCAAUAUGAAACAGAUAAAGAAUCAAAGAAUUAAUAUAUGCAAAAAAUGUAAAAAUACCUCCCUCAAUUGAAAAAUUGAGUCGACCAUGGUUAGAACUUGUUGUUCAUCCCCAGCGGAGUCGUCAUUUUAUCAUGCCCUAUUUUCGCCAAGGUAAACACGUACGACUUAUGGACUCUAAAUGAAUUGAUUUUAUUACAGAGUCGCCACCUAAUUUUAAAGAAAAAUAAGGAAACCUAUUGAAUUAUUAACAUGUGCGAUUUUAUGUUUCAGUCUGCAAAAUUCAAUUGAGAUUCUAGGUAAGAGUUUAAAUUAUCCCGAAGGGAAGGGGUUAGGCACCCUUCAGGAUACACAAAUGUGGUAACCAGCUAAACUAAAUUUAUCAAAAAGAGAGAAGGUAUAUUGAAAAUAAUGUAAAAAUGUAUGUAUUAAAUAUAAAAUAAUUCUUUUAAAAAAAUAUAAAUAUUUUAAAACUAUGUAAAGGUAUAUGUAUAUUAAAUAUAUGAAUAGAAUAAAUUAUUAUAAAAUAUGUAAAGGACAUGUAUAAAAAUGUAUAAAUAAAUGUGAAAAGGAAAAGUACUUUAUAAUGUAUGAAAAACAGUGGCGGACCCAGGAUUUAAGGAGAGUGAGUGCUUACUAUAGAAAAAAAUAAAAAAUUACCUCAACCAGGUUUGAACCCGAGCACACCUACCAAUGGAGAGCCUUAAGAUCAACUUAAAUGACAAUGCACCUAACCAAUUUCUUGUUUAGCGGGUGCUUUUAUAUAAUUUAUAACCAUUUUUGUAUAUUUUUUAUGUAAUUAUACCUAUUCUACGUUGAGUUUAGUGGGUGUUGGAGCACCCAAAAUUUAUGUGUAGGUCCGCCCCUGAUGAAAAAGAAAUGUAUUUUGAUAUGCCAUGAAAAGAAAAAGUAUUUACCGAUAAUAUUUUUUAUCUGAUUAAAAUUAAGAAAAAAAGUAAAAUUUAUUUGAUAUGAAAAGACUAUAUAGUAUAUGAAUUACUUGAUUAACUUGAUUAUUUUAUGUAAUUGCAUCAAAAUAACAUAUAUGAUUUGUCGUAAAAAGUAUAAACAAAAGUAUAUCAGUAUAUGUAUGUAAAGAAAAGAAAAGAUUAUAUAAAGAAAAAUUGUUUCAAAGAAAAAACAUACGUAAUAUUUUUUAAUGUAAAAAGUAUAAAUUCUUUGAUUAAAUAAUCUAAGUCAAUCAAAUAUUUUUAUAUAAAUAUUAACAAUCUAAAUUUGCCUAAACGCGUGGUGAAGAUUGAAUAAAGAAUAUCCCGCCCAACACAAAAAAAAAUUAAAGUUUCCACUAUGAUUAACAUUUGUACAAGUGAAAGAAUAUAAAAAUAUAAAUACUCAAUUUAAAGUCUUCUUUAAAUGUCAUCCCGACAAGUAUUCCCACUAACCUGUAUAAACACUUGUAAUAAAAAUGUCAGUAACAAAUAAAUAAUAAUCAAAAUAAAAUAAAAAAAUAUGUGUGCAUAUACAUAUUUAAAAGUAUAUUUUUUGUUAGUUAGUGACUCAGAUAAAGUUUUAAAAUAUUAUAAAGAUUUCGUUAUCGUCUAAAAAUAUUUAUUUUUUAUUACGUAUUUGUAUAUGUAAUGUCUGUCUUUUAUUUGGGAAGGCCUCGAAAACUGAUGGAAGUUUCUUCAUUGGCCAUGUUUCUAUUUAUAUAAAAUAAAUAACUAAAAAAAAAGUUUCAUCUUUUGUAUUAGGGUGACUUCAAAUAUCCAGAUGGAGAGAUAAUUUUAUUGGCCAUGUCUAUUUUUUGCAAAGCAACAAGGGACAAAAUGUCUAAAAAUAGUCCCAAAAUCAGUCUAAACAUAGCGAAAUAACUCAUCCAUUCAGUGCAUUUUUCUGAUGCAAAUCAACCCAAACAGUAAAAAAUAUACGAAAAAGGCUCAAAAAUAUUCCUGAACUAUCUAAAAUAGGUCAAAAAUACUCCUCGUUAGAUUUUUGGCUCAAAAAUAUCCCUUCGUUAAAUAUUUGGCUCAAAAAUAACCCUCCCUCUAACGGAAUUCGAAAAAGGAUAAAAAGUACUCCUGAACUAUCUGAAAUUGAUCUAAAAUACCCCUCAUUAGUUUUUUGGCUAAAAAAUAUCCCUCUGUUAAAUAUUUGGCUAAAAAAAUACUCCUCUCCUUAACGAAAUUCCACCAAGCAUACCACCUAGAUAAAAAAAAAUACGUGGUCAUGCCACAUUACCAUCCACAUGUAAAAUGUUAUAUUUUUUAAUUAUAUGACAUUAUUCCUUUCUUUUUUAUUUUUAUUUAUAUUUAUAUUUUUUUGCAAAGCAAUUUUAUUGAUCUGGAAAAAAAUAUGAUCAGUAAAAUUAAAAAUUUCUAAAAAUAUUUAAAUAAAAUCAAUCAGUGUUUUUACUGAAUUUAAUUUAACGUUUUUGGAAUUACUAGACAUUGGGAAGGUACUAAAUAAAUUUUGUUAAAGGAGUACAAAGUAUUCGUUUUUUUUUCAUUAUAUGAUAAACUUUUUACUUUGAUUAUUAAAGAAAAUGAUAUCCAUGUUUUUCUAAUGAUUAAAAUAUAUUAAAUGUCAUUUACUUUUCUGGAAGUGAAAUUUUAAAAAAUUCUAAGAAUACUAACAUAAAUUUAGAAAAACUAUCAACAUUCAUUGAGUUUAGAAAAAAUAAAUCACCAUCACUGAAUGUAAUCUUUUUAUUUAACUCUUUCAUCAAGAAGAAAGGAAUGUCAUAUAAUUAAAAAAUACUAACAUUUUACAUGUGACUGGUAAUGUGGCAUAAUUACGUGAUUUUUUAUACGAAAAAGGCUAAAAAAUAUUUUGACUUUGAUGAUCCUAAUGGGAUUAGGUCGAUCUUAUCUUUUAGGGAAUCCUUGGUGCAACAGUGAAGUUGUAGCCAUGUGAUCAGGAGAUCAUAUGGUUCGAACUCCUAAUCACAAAAACCACCUCUUUUGUAUAGUUGUGACUUAUGAGGUGAAGUCGUGUAUUUAUAUGAUAUGUUUCGUCCCUAGUCCCUGUUCAUAGUUAAAGCCUUUAACUAACAAUUCUCAUCUCAACGUUUGUUCUAUGUUUUGUUAUAACUACUUCAGUGGUAAUAUUAAAACUAUAGUUACAAUCUACAAUGUAUUUAUAAUUUACUCAGAAUGCUAUUGCGCUGCUGCUUCAUGUGUUAAACUUUAAUGUUCAAGAAAUUUUAGAGGUCGAUAUAAUAAGUUGGCUAACUUUUUUCGGUGAAGUGAAAUAAUUUCUUUCUACUAUUAUUCAUUCCGUACGUAUGAUUAGAUUUUGAAUUUCAUUAGGAAGUACUACAACGAAUAAUGCAUCAAGGUAUUUUUGAGACUUUGCCGUAAAAAAAAAUCACGUUAUGCCACAUUAUAAUCCACAUGUAAAAUAUUAGUAUUUUUUAAUUAGGCCAAAGUUAUCGAUAGACACUCAAACUUGUUGCCAAAAUUCAUUCAGACACCUAAACUAAGGCCUGUUUCUAUCAGACCCCUAACCCCUCUCCCCUCCAUUUUAUUCCAAUUGGGCCUUUUUUACCCUACCAGCAAAAAACUCAAAGUGUGUGUUACGCACACGCGAUAACGUGGUAAAAUGAGCUAAUUGAAACCUGACACGUGACAUUGUGAGUUCAAUAAUUAAUAAAAAUUAAUUAUAAUUUUUUUAAAAAAAGUAUAUACAAAUGGCAUUGAGGAAAUUAUUAAAAAAUAAUUCUAAAAUUAUUUAAAAAAUAAAAAAAUAGAUUAUUUAAAAAAAUUAUAAAUUAUUUUAAAAAAUGAAAUAGAUUAUUUAAAAAAUAUUUUUUAAAAAAAUUAAUUAUUAAGAAAAAUUAUAAAUUUUUUUAAAAAAUGAAAAUAAACAAUGGCUAGGAUAUAAAUUAUAAAAAAAUAAUUAUAAGAUUAUUUAAAAAAUAAAAAUAAAAAAAUAAUUAUUUAAAAAAAUUAUAAAAUUUUUUAAAAAAUGAAAUAAAUUAUUAAAAAAUUAUUNNNNNNNNNNNNNNNNNNNNNNNNNNNNNNNNNNNNNNNNNNNNNNNNNNNNNNNNNNNNNNNNNNNNNNNNNNNNNNNNNNNNNNNNNNNNNNNNNNNNNNNNNNNNNNNNNNNNNNNNNNNNNNNNNNNNNNNNNNNNNNNNNNNNNNNNNNNNNNNNNNNNNNNNNNNNNNNNNNNNNNNNNNNNNNNNNNNNNNNNNNNNNNNNNNNNNNNACAAUUAUUAAAAAGAAAUUAUAAAAUUUUUUAAAAAAUAAAAAUAAAACUCCCUCACCUACCCCGAGCCCCCAACGUAUUGUAUUAUUAAAAAAUAAAAAUUGAAACCCCCUAAUGCUUUUUUGCCUAAUUAUAAAAAAGAAAUCAUAAAAUAUUUAAAAAAUAAAAAACUAAUUAUUAAAAAAAAAUUAUAAUUUGUUUUUAAAAAUAAAAUAAAACUCCUCUAUCUACCCUAUCCAUAGGGUAUUGUUUCAUCAAAAACCAAAAAUUGAGACCUCCUAAUACUUUUUGUUUUAUUAAAAAGGGUCUUUAGUGUUUUAAAAAACAAAAUUGUUAUUAAAAAAAAAUUUUUAGAUCCUUCAAUGCCACUUGUCAUCUUUUUAUUUAUAAAUUAAUAAAAAAAAUAUUCAUCACGCGCUUCUCACGAUGACACCAUAUGCGCAAUGCCACAUAAACAAAAAAGGUUCAAUUGGAACAUAAUGUGAGGCUAUAAGUCUUAAUUCAGAUGGUGACACCAUAUGCGCAAUGCCACAUAGACAAAAAAGGUUCAAUUGAAACAUAAUGUGAGGCUAUAAGUCUUAAUUUAGGUGUCUAGCAAUAAAUUUGAAUGUCUAUUAAUGACUGAACUUUAAAUUAUAUGACAUUUCUUUCUUCUUAAUAAAAGAGUUAAAUAAAAGAAUUAUAUUUAGUAAUGUUGAUUUAUUUUUUUUGAACUUAAUAAAUAUUGAUAGUUUUUCUAAUUUUAUGUUUAAUCAAGAAAAGUAAAUAACAUUUAAUAUAUUUUAAUCAUUAGUAAAACAUGAAUAUAAUUUUUUUCAAUAAUCUAAGUGAAAAAUUUAUCAUAUAAUAAAAAAAAUUGAAUAAUUUAUAUUACUUUAAUAAAAUUUAUUUAGUAUCUUUUCAAUGUCAAGAAAUUCAAAAAAUGUUAAACUUAAUCCAGUAAAAUUGAUUUAUUUUUAAAAUUUUUUAAUUUUACUGAUUAUAUUUUUUUUCAAAUCAAUAAAAUUGCUUUGUAAAAAAAAAAAAGUCAUAUAAUUAAAAAUAUUCUUCUAUUAAAUAUUUGACUCAAAAAUACUUUUUUUUUUAUCCAUUUCAGAUAGUUUAGCGAUAUUUUUGAUUUUUUUUUAAUUUUGUUAGAGGAAGAGAUAUUUUUUAGCCAAAUAUUCAAUAAAAAACAGUUCAUGAGUAUUUUUAAGCAUUUUCCGAAAAAUAUAUUAGCAACAUGUCAAUGAUGUUGAUGGCAGUAAAACAAAAACAAAAACACAGUUCAGGAGUAUUUUUAAGCAUUUUUCAAAAAAUAUAUUAGCAACGUAUCAAUAAUGUUGAUGGCAGUAAAACAAAAACAAAAACAAAAACACAGUACAAUAAUAAAACAACAGAUCCAGCAAGAGAAGACAAAUAUGAUAAUUAACUAUAAUAACCAGAGACAACAAAAAAUCUUAGACAGUGAGGCUGUCGGCGUUGCUUCAACGGCAAUCAUCGGAGCAACGCCAGAAAAUAGAAAAGCGGCCAGAUCUGGCCAAUUUCUCAGUAAAUAGUGGCGGAAAAAGGAAGAAAAGGGAGGCGCGUCUGGCGGUUUCUUCUGGUGAGGUCGCCGGCAGAUCUGGUUCGGCUUUGGGUGGCAGAAAUAGUUGGAGUUUUGAUAGCUGUUGGCCGGAGUUGUUAUUGUCAGUGCCUGGAUGGAGUUAAGAGGGGAAAAGGGAUCGGCCGGUUGGUUGCUGGAAGCUCACCGGUCGUCACCUCCGGCGAACCAGCGUGUAGCAGCGGAGAUGGAAGGGAGAGAAAGACGUGAGAUAAAGAGAGAGAAUGAGAUAAAAAAUCUGAUGUUUUCUAUUUUGUGUCUUUAACAAUUGCCUCCUCCUCCUUUAUUUAUAAUAAAAAGAACCUCCUUUUUUUAUUAAAAAAAUAAAAAAUUA
rnacentral:lncRNA from 1 species